rnacentral:lncRNA from 1 species
AUCUGUUACACAUGCAGCCACAGUAUUCCUGGAAAGCUGUCAUCUGGCCUCUUUACCUCCAGUCCUCAUAGCAGCCCUCAGUCAGGGAAGGGAGGGCUCGUGAGAACAGGCAUGGGCUUGCAUGGAAUACAGCCAAGGGAGCGGCUUUUCUGUCACAAAUAUAUAUUUCAGAAGUGAAUGAGGACAGACAGACAGACAGAUACAUAGAUACAUAGAGAUAGAGCUGUAUCCUACCAAUCAUGACACAAGAACCUCUACAAGGAAUCUUCCUCAAGAUUGCACUGGGUGGACAUCUAACUCUUACACUAAAAUCAAAAGAAUGCCCCA